rnacentral:rRNA from 1 species
CGUAGGGAGCAAGCGUUGUCCGGAAUUAUUGGGCGUAAAGGGUGCGUAGGCGGUAAUCCAAGUCAGAUGUGAAAUCCCCGGGCUUAACUCGGGUGGUGCAUUUGAAACUGGAUUACUUGAGUGCAGGAGAGGAAAGCGGAAUUCCUAGUGUAGCGGUGAAAUGCGUAGAUAUUAGGAGGAACACCAGUGGCGAAGGCGGCUUUCUGGACUGUAACUGACGCUGAGGCACGAAAGCGUGGGGAGCAAACAGGAUUAGAUACCCUGGUAGUCCACGCUGUAAACGAUGGAUACUAGGUGUGGGGGACAUACAACCUCCGCGCCGGAGCUAACGCAUUAAGUAUCCCGCCUGGGGAGUACGGUCGCAAGGCUG